rnacentral:rRNA from 1 species
UGACUGCGUACCUUUUGUAUAAUGGGUCAGCGACUUAUAUUCUGUAGCAAGGUUAACCGUAUAGGGGAGCCGGAGGGAAACCGAGUCUUAAUUGGGCGUUAAGUUGCAGGGUAUAGACCCGAAACCCGGUGAUCUAGCCAUGGGCAGGUUGAAGGUUGGGUAACACUAACUGGAGGACCGAACCGACUAAUGUUGAAAAAUUAGCGGAUGACCUGUGGCUGGGGGUGAAAGGCCAAUCAAACCGGGAGAUAGCUGGUUCUCCCCGAAAGCUAUUUAGGUAGCGCCUCGUGAAUUCAUCUCCGGGGGUAGAGCACUGUUUCGGCUAGGGGGCCAUCCCGGCUUACCAACCCGAUGCAAACUGCGAAUACCGGAGAAUGUUAUCACGGGAGACACACGGCGGGUGCUAACGUCCGUCGUGAAGAGGGAAACAACCCAGACCGCCAGCUAAGGUCCCAAAGUCAUGGUUAAGUGGGAAACGAUGUGGGAAGGCCCAGACAGCCAGGAUGUUGGCUUAGAAGCAGCCAUCAUUUAAAGAAAGCGUAAUAGCUCACUGGUCGAGUCGGCCUGCGCGGAAGAUGUAACGGGGCUAAACCAUGCACCGAAGCUGCGGCAGCGAA